CAGAACUUCUCAAUUAUGACAUAACUCGUGUAUCAUCUUCAGAACUGAUCAUCUCUGUUCGAUGGAUGAGAGACAGUUCUGCUCUUGACAUUUCAGUCACCAACUUAGGAUUGAACGACUUGGUAUCCAAACUCGAGAGAAGCUUUUCUACAAAUAUGUUCUCAAUUUCAAAUAAAAAUGAGAAAUCGGAAAAUUAACAUUUCAGAAAAAGAUAAAUAUAAAAAAUUCAUCUACUUACUUCAUUUUCUUUGAGGAAGUUUUUUUUUUUUUUUCGGACUUUGAGGAAGUUAUACACUUAUGAUUUGAGUCGGAAGGACUUUCGAAAAGCA
rnacentral:lncRNA from 1 species